rnacentral:rRNA from 1 species
GUGCCAGCAGCCGCGGUAAGACAGAGGCGGCAAGCGUUGUUCGGAAUCACUGGGCAUAAAGGGCGCGUAGGUGGUCAUGUAGGUUAGGGGUGAAAUCCCCGGGCUCAACCCGGGAAACGCCUCUAAAACCACAUGGCUUGAGCGGAACAGGGGAGAGUGGAACUCGUGGUGGAGCGGUGAAAUGCGUAGAUAUCACGAGGAACGCCGGCGGUGAAGACGACUCUCUGGGUUCCUGCUGACACUGAGGCGCGAAAGCUGGGGGAGCAAACGGGAUUAGAUACCCUGGUAGUCC